rfam:Lupinus angustifolius cultivar Tanjil chromosome LG01, whole genome shotgun sequence.
UGGGUUUUGCCAAGCGGUAAGGCAACGGGUUUUGGUCCCGCUAUUCGGAGGUUCGAAUCCUUCCAUCCCAG